rnacentral:sRNA from 1 species
CCCAGGGCUUACGCCCUGGGCUAAAUUGUUCCGCCCCUUUGGGGGCU